AUGAAGCCCAGCUUGCUGGGUGGAUUAGUGGCGAACGGGUGAGUAACACGUGAGCAACCUGCCCCUGACUCUGGGAUAAGCGCUGGAAACGGCGUCUAAUACUGGAUAUGUCCCGUCACCGCAUGGUGUGCGGGUGGAAAGAUUUUUCGGUUGGGGAUGGGCUCGCGGCCUAUCAGCUUGUUGGUGAGGUAAUGGCUCACCAAGGCGUCGACGGGUAGCCGGCCUGAGAGGGUGACCGGCCACACUGGGACUGAGACACGGCCCAGACUCCUACGGGAGGCAGCAGUGGGGAAUAUUGCACAAUGGGCGGAAGCCUGAUGCAGCAACGCCGCGUGAGGGAUGACGGCCUUCGGGUUGUAAACCUCUUUUAGCAGGGAAGAAGCGAGAGUGACGGUACCUGCAGAAAAAGCACCGGCUAACUACGUGCCAGCAGCCGCGGUAAUACGUAGGGUGCAAGCGUUAUCCGGAAUUAUUGGGCGUAAAGAGCUCGUAGGCGGUCUGUCGCGUCUGCUGUGAAAUCCCGAGGCUCAACCUCGGGCUUGCAGUGGGUACGGGCAGACUAGAGUGCGGUAGGGGAGAUUGGAAUUCCUGGUGUAGCGGUGGAAUGCGCAGAUAUCAGGAGGAACACCGAUGGCGAAGGCAGAUCUCUGGGCCGUAACUGACGCU
rnacentral:rRNA from 1 species